GAUUUCGGAUGGGUUUGACCGGUCCGCCGUUUCGGUGUGCACUGGUCGUACCUAUCUUGCUGUCGGGGACGCGCUUCUGGCCUUAAUUGGCUGGGACGCGGAGUCGGCGAUGUUACUUUGAAAAAAUUAGAGUGUUCAAAGCAGGCCUAAGCUCUGAAUACAUUAGCAUGGAAUAACGCUAUAGGACUCUGGUCUUAUUGCGUUGGUCUUCGAGACCGGAGUAAUGAUUAAGAGGGACAGUUGGGGGCAUUCGUAUUUCAUUGUCAGAGGUGAAAUUCUUGGAUUUAUGAAAGACGAACUUCUGCGAAAGCAUUUGCCAAGGAUGUUUUCAUUAAUCAAGAACGAAAGUUGGGGGCUCGAAGACGAUCAGAUACCGUCCUAGUCUCAACCAUAAACGAUGCCGACUAGGGAUUGGCGGAUGUUAAUUCGAUGACUUCGCCAGCACCUUAUGAGAAAUCAAAGUUUUUGGGUUCCGGGGGGAG
rnacentral:rRNA from 1 species